rnacentral:rRNA from 1 species
GGGUGCGAUCAUACCAGCGUUAAUGCACCGUAUCCCAUCAGAAUUCCGCAGUUAAGCGCGCUUGGGCUACAGUAGUACUGGGAUGGGUGACCUCUCGGGAAGUCCUAGUGUUGCACCCU